UACGUAGGGGGCGAGCGUUGUCCGGAGUUACUGGGCGUAAAGCGCACGCAGGCGGUCUGCGAAGUUUGGAGUGACAGUUGGUGGCUCAACCACCAAAGUGCUUCGAAAACUGGCAGACUUGAGGGCUUCAGAGGGACACGGAAUUCCGGGUGGAGUGGUGAAAUGCGUAGAGAUCCGGAGGAACACCGAAGGCGAAGGCAGUGUCCUGGGGAGUACCUGACGCUCAGGUGCGAAAGCUAGGGGAGCGAACGGG
rnacentral:rRNA from 1 species